ACCUGUGAGGCACUGGGAGCUUAGCAGCAUCUUUUGGAGCCUGCUACAGGCUGGAGGCUGUCAGAGAAAGAAGUUGUCAGUGAGUUGUCCAGCGGGUUGUGGAGCAGGAGGACGAUUUGCCAAUGACUGAGUGUCUUCCAGGGAUUCCCGAUCCAAUGGUCAGGGAUCCAGCUUUUCACUUCUGAUCUACUGUAUGUUAUGGAAUCUGGCAAAUAGGCACAAAUCUGGAUGAGCUGGUUUAUGGAACAAUAAACACAGCAUUUGUAGCAGAUGUAUGGAGGCUGGAUUUGAUGGCUUCUGGCACAUCAGGAUCUCACUCAGGAAGCCCCUGAGCGAGGCAGUGCCGUGUGAACACGAGG